GUUUAAUAAUUUAUUUAAUUUUUUUUUUACAUGUAAAUUUUAGUGGGAUUAUAAUAAUAAUUUAAAUAAUUAUUAUUAGGGAUUUUAUUCGCAGUAUGAAGUUUUAUUUAUUUAAGAAAUUAAGAACUAUAAAUAAAUUUAAAUAUUAACAAAAUUUGUGCCAGCAGUUGCGGUUAUACAAAAAAUAUAAAUAAAUUUUAUUAGUAAAUAAUAAAAUGAAUUUAAUUUAAUAAAAAUAAAAUUUAUAAAGUGAAAUUUAAAAUUUUUAAUAAUUAUAAUUAAAAUUAUUGAUAUUAUGAAAUUUAUAGUUUAAACUAGGAUUAGAUACCCUAUUAUUAUAAAUGUUAAUUUUUACUAAAGUAGUAUUAGUUAUGAUCUUGAAAUUUAAAAAUUUUGGCGGUAUUUUAGUCUAUUCAGAGGAACCUGUUCUAUAAUUGAUAGUCCACGAUAAAUUUUACUUUAUUUAAUAGUUUAUAUAUCGUCGUUAUUAAAUAUUUUAUUAGAAUUAUAAUAUUUAGGAUUUUUAAUUUAAAAAUAUAUCAGAUCAAGGUGUAGCUUAUAAUAAAGAAGAAAUGGGUUACAAUAAAUUUAUUUAUGGAUUUUU
rnacentral:rRNA from 1 species